UACGUAGGGUGCAAGCGUUAAUCGGAAUUACUGGGCGUAAAGCGUGCGCAGGCGGCUUUGCAAGUCAGUGGUGAAAUCUCCAGGCUUAACUUGGAAACUGCCAUUGAUACUAUCAAUCUUGAAUACCGUGGAGGUCAGCGGAAUAUGUCAUGUAGCGGUGAAAUGCUUAGAUAUGACAUAGAACACCAAUUGCGAAGGCAGCUGGCUACGCGGAUAUUGACACUGAUGCACGAAAGCGUGGGGAUCAAACAGG
rnacentral:rRNA from 1 species